AAUGAACGUUGGCGGCGUGGAUUAGGCAUGCAGGUCGAGCGGGUGCAGUAAUACAUCAGCGGCGAAAGGGAGAGUAACGCGUAGUUACGUGCCCCGAGGUCCAGAAUAGCUACGGGAAACUGUAGGUAAUGCUGGAUAAUAUCUCCGGAUCAAAGGUGUGAUUCCGCCUCGGGAGCGGACUGCGUCCUACUAGCUAGUUGGCGGGGUAAUGGCCCACCAAGGCAACGAUGGGUAGCGGGUGUGAGAGCAUGACCCGUCUCACUGGGACUGAGACACUGCCCAGACACCUACGGGUGGCUGCAGUCGAGAAUCUUCGGCAAUGAGCGCAAGCUUGACCGAGCGACGCCGCGUGCGGGAUGAAGGCCUUCGGGUUGUAAACCGCUUUCGGUUGGGAGGAAAUCGCUAGGGGUUCUCCCCUAGUGUUGACCUAUCUUCGGAAGAAGGACGGGCUAAGUUCGUGCCAGCCGCCGCGGUAAGAC
rnacentral:rRNA from 1 species